GACGAACGCUGGCGGCGUGCUUAACACAUGCAAGUCGAACGAAAAGAGGGAAAGAGCUUGCUCUUUCCGGAAUUGAGUGGCAAACGGGUGAGUAACACGUAAACAACCUGCCUUCAGGAUGGGGACAACAGACGGAAACGACUGCUAAUACCGAAUAAGUUCCAAGAGCCGCAUGGCCCAUGGAAGAAAAGGUGGCCUCUACCUGUAAGCUAUCGCCUGAAGAGGGGUUUGCGUCUGAUUAGCUGGUUGGAGGGGUAACGGCCCACCAAGGCGACGAUCAGUGGCCGGUCUGAGAGGAUGAACGGCCACACUGGAACUGAGACACGGUCCAGACUCCUACGGGAGGCAGCAGUGGGGAAUCUUCCGCAAUGGGCGAAAGCCUGACGGAGCAACGCCGCGUGAGUGAUGACGGCCUUCGGGUUGUAAAACUCUGUGAUCCGGGACGAAAAGGCAGAGUGCGAAGAACAAACUGCAUUGACGGUACCGGAAAAGCAAGCCACGGCUAACUACGUG
rnacentral:rRNA from 1 species